rnacentral:rRNA from 1 species
ACGAAACGCUGGCGGGCGUGGAUAAGGACAUGCAAGUCGGACGGGAUUUUCCGUUUGUAGCAAUACGAUGGAAAGUCUAGUGGCGAACGGGUGGCUUAACACGUGGGGCAACCUGCCAGGAAGUGGGGGGAUAGCUCGCCGAAAAGGCGAAUUAAUACCGCAUGUGGAUUAGAGUGGGAACAUCCAUUCGAAAUUAAAGUCGGGGCCAACCUGACGCUUCUUGUGGGGCCCGCGGCCUAUCAGCUAGUUGGUGAGGGUAAACGGCCCACCAAGGCUUUGACGGGUAGCUGGUCUGAGAGGACGGACCAGCCACACUGGGACUGAGACACGGCCCCAGACACCUACGGGUGGGCAGCAGUCGAGAAUUUUUGACAAUGGGGGAAAACCCUGAUCGAGCGGACGCCCGCGUGGAGGAUGAAAGGUCUUCGGAUUGUAAAACUCCUGUCAUUGGGGAAACAAUGCCCCGGUAUUAAACUGUAUCGGGGUUGAUAGUACCCGAAGAGGAAGAGACGGCUAAACUCUGUGCCAGCAGCCGCGGUAAUACAGAGGUUCUCAAGCGGUUUGUUUCGGAUUUCAUUGGGCGUAAAGGGUGCGUAGGCGGCGCGGUAAAGUCGGGUGUGUGAAAUCUCGGAAGCUUAACUUCGAAAACUGCAUUCGAUUACUGCCGUGCUUGAGGACUGGAGAGGGAGGACUGGAAUUUUACGGUGUAGCGGUGAAAAUGCGUAGAUAUCGUAAGGAAGGACCAGUGGCGAAGGCGGGUCCUCUGGACAGUUUCCCUGACGCCUGAGGCACGAAGGUUCAGGGGAGCAAAACGGGAUUAGAUUACCCCGGUAGUCCUGACAGUAAAACGGUGCACGUUUUGGUGUGGGAGGAUUCGGACCCCUUUCCUGCGCCGGAGCUGACGCGUUUAAAACGUGCCGCCUGGGGAGUAACGGUCGCAAGAUUAAAAACUCAAAGAAAAUUGACAGGGGCCCCGCACAAGCGGUGGAGUAUGUGGCUCAAUUCGAUGCAAACGCGAAGAACCUUACCAGGCCUUGGACAUGCCAUCUCUAAGCUGGUGAAAAGCCCAGCGAGUCCCGCAAGGGACAAUUUGCAACAGGUGCUGCAUGGCUGUCGUCAGCUCGUGUCGUGAGAUGUUGGGUUUAAGUCCCGCAAACGAGCGCAACCCCUGUGAAACUGUUGCCACGGAACCGAGAGGUUUCCAGCACUCUGUUCAGGGACUGCCCCCGCUCUAACGGGGAGGAAGGUGGGGACGACGUCAAGUCCAGUAUGGCCCUUACGGCCUGGGCUGCACACGUACUACAAUGCCCCAGCACAGAAACGAUCCAAGAACCGCGAGGUGGAGGAAAUCACUAAAAACUGGGCCCAGUUCAGAUUGAAAGUCUGCAAACUCGACUUCAUGAAGCCGGAAUCGCUAGUAAUGGCGUAUCAGCUACGGACGCCGUGAAUACGUUUCCCGGGGCCUUGUACACAACCGCCCCGUCACAUCAUGGGAGUCCGCUUGUAGCCGAAGUCGGCGGCGCUAACUAGCAAUAGAGGGCAGCCGCCUACGCUAUGAAACGGUAAACUGGGAUG